GAUGAACGCUGGCGGCGUGCUUAACACAUGCAAGUCGAACGGAGAAAGGGUAGCUUGCUAUCUUUUCUUAGUGGCGGACGGGUGAGUAACGCGUGGGUAACCUGCCCUUUGCAGGGGGAUAACAGUGAGAAAUCACUGCUAAUACCGCAUACCAACUUCUUUCGCAUGAAAGAAGUUUGAAAGAUUUAUCGGCAAAGGAUGGACCCGCGUUGGAUUAGCUAGUUGGUGAGAUAACAGCCCACCAAGGCAACGAUCCAUAGCCGGCCUGAGAGGGUGAACGGCCACACUGGGACUGAGGCACGGCCCAGACUCCUACGGGAGGCAGCAGUGGGGAAUAUUGCACAAUGGGCGAAAGCCUGAUGCAGCGACGCCGCGUGAAGGAUGAAGGUCUUCGGAUUGUAAACUUCUAUCAGCAGGGAAGAAAGGGCCUAUGGCCUAUGACGGUACCUGACUAAGAAGCCCCGGCUAACUACGUG
rnacentral:rRNA from 1 species